CCCUUAGAUGUUCUGGGCCGCACGCGUGCUACACUGAGUGGAUCAGCGGGUCAGGUUGCGCGAAAGCGUUUCCUAAUCUUUAAAUCCGCUCGUGAUGGGGAUUGACGGUUGCAAUUUUCUGUCAUGAACGAGGAAUACCUUGUAAGCGCGGGUCAUCAUCCCGCGCUGAAUACGUCCCUGCCCUUUGUACACACCGCCCGUCGCUCCUACCGAUUGAGUGGUCCGGUGAGGCUUUGGGAUCUGAGCGGAAAGAGCGUUUCGCUGUUUCUGCUCGGAAAACCCAGUCGAACCUUAUCAUUUAGAGGAAGGAGAAGUCGUAACA
rnacentral:rRNA from 1 species